rfam:Prevotella sp. CAG:1031 genomic scaffold, scf31
GGUUCGGUAGCUCAGCUGGAUAGAGCAACAGCCUUCUAAGCUGUGGGUCCCGGGUUCGAAUCCCGGCCGAAUCA